rnacentral:ncRNA from 2 species
AACUCAUCGAGACCAGCCGAGGGACAGGCCCGACGACGCUGGGGCAACCACCGAAACUUCGGAAUGGUGCCAACUCCUGCGGAAGUGCGCUUCCGACAGAUGAGAG